rnacentral:rRNA from 1 species
GAUGAACGCUGGCGGCGUGCCUAAUACAUGCAAGUCGAGCGAACAGACGAGGAGCUUGCUCCUCUGCCGUUAGCGGCGGACGGGUGAGUAACACGUGGAUAACCUACCUAUAAGACUGGGAUAACUUCGGGAAACCGGAGCUAAUACCGGAUCAUAUAUUGAACCGCAUGGUUCAAUAGUGAAAGACGGUUUUGCUGUCACUUAUAGAUGGAUUCGCGCCGCAUUAGCUAGUUGGUAAGGUAACGGCUUACCAAGGCGACGAUGCGUAGCCGACCUGAGAGGGUGAUCGGCCACACUGGAACUGAGACACGGUCCAGACUCCUACGGGAGGCAGCAGUAGGGAAUCUUCCGCAAUGGGCGAAAGCCUGACGGAGCAACGCCGCGUGAGUGAUGAAGGUCUUCGGAUCGUAAAACUCUGUUAUUAGGGAAGAACAAAUGUGUAAGUAACUAUGCACGUCUUGACGGUACCUAAUCAGAAAGCCACGGCUAACUACGUG